GAGGCUUUAGCUUAAUUAAAGUGUUUGAUUUGCGUUCAUAUGAUGUGUAUUAGUGUUACACAGGUCUUA
rnacentral:tRNA from 1 species